GAAGCCCUUCGGGGUGUAAAGAGCUUUUCUCUGUGAACAAUUUUGUAGCAAUGCGGAAUGAGUGUAAUAGAGGAAUAAGGGGGGGCUAACUCUGUGCCAGAAGCCUCGGUAAGACAGAGCCCCCAAGCGUUAUCCGGAUUUAUUGGGCGUAAAGGGUCCGUAGGCGGUUUAGUAAGUUUGAUGUCAAAUAUCCCAGGCUUAACCCGGGAAACAUAUCAAAUACUGCUGAACUAGAGGGCGCUAGAGGUUGAUAGAACGAUCGGUGUAGGGGUGAAAUCCGUUGAUAUCGAUCGGAAUACCAAAUGCGAAGGCAUUCAACUGGGGCGACCCUGACGCUGAGGGACGAAAGCGUGGGGAUCAAAAAGGAUUAGAUACCCUUGUAGUCCACGCUGUAAAUUAUGGAUACUAGCUAUCUGAAGUGUCGACCCUUUAGGUGGCGAAGCUAACGCGUUAAGUAUCCCGCCUGGGGAGUACGGCCGCAAGGCUAAAACUCAAAGGAAUAGACGGGGAUUCACACAAGCGGUGGAUCAUGUGGCUUAAUUCGACGGUAAACGAGGAACCUUACCAGGACUUGAAAUGCUAAUGACGUUCUGCAGAAAUGCGAACUUCCCACAAGGACAUUAGCACAGGUGCUGCAUGGUUGUCGUCAGUUCGUGUCUUGAGACGUACGCUUAAGUGCGGUAACGAACGCAACCCUUGCCCUAUGUUUUAAAUGUCAUAGGGGACUGCCCGGGACAACCGGGAGGAAGGCGAGGAUGACGCCAAAUCAGCAUGGCCCUUUGACGUCCUGGGCUGCACACGUGAUACAAUGGGACAGACAAUGGGUAACCAAAGCGCAAGCUGGAGUUAAUCUUAUCAAACUGUCCCCCAAUUCGGAUUGAGGUCUGCAACUCGACCUCAUGAAGCCGGAAUCGCUAGUAAUCGCCAAUCAGCUAUGUGGCGAUGAAUACGUCCCUGAAUCUUGUACUCACCGCCCGUCACAUUAGGGAAGUCGAUAAUAGCCGAAAUCCCCGUUCGCGGGGCAUAAGCUAAGAUCGGUAACAAGAAUGAAGUCGUAACAAGGCAUGCGUAGGGGAACCUGCGCAUAGAUCA
rnacentral:rRNA from 1 species